GUUAUAGGGUGUUCGUAUAAGUAUUGUUUGAUUGAGAGUUAGAUUGUAGCGACCGAUUUAACCCUCGUCACCCGUCGCCGUUGCUUCGUUCUCCUUCCUCGCCGUUUCGUUUUGCUGUGCUCGAAUCUCUAUCUGAGGUGGUUGAUGACGAUGAGCUACCCCGGGAUGAAUGAAGUAAGGACUAAUGUUGAUUUUAUGUAUCUAUUGCAACUUCUAGAGAGCUUUCAAAUUAAACGUUUGUUAAUUAAUUAGCUAGUGAACUUUCAUUUAUAAUUAGUUAGUAUUGACACUUCGUUUACUUUUGUAAUGCAACGAAUAUAUAUUAUAUGUACUUCGUUUAUUUUGUAAUGCAACGAAGAUAUAUUAUAUGUACUUU